UACGGAGGGUGCAAGCGUUGUCCGGAUUUAUUGGGUUUAAAGGGUGCGUAGGCGGCCCUCCUUGUCGCGUGUGAAAGCCCCGGGCUCAACCUGGGAAUUGCGCGCGAAACGGGGGGGCUUGAGUUCGGGAGAGGAGAGUGGAAUUCCCAGUGUAGAGGUGAAAUUCGUAGAUAUUGGGAAGAACACCGGUGGCGAAGGCGGCUCUCUGGACCGAGACUGACGCUGAGGCGCGAAAGCGUGGGGAGCAAACAGG
rnacentral:rRNA from 1 species